rnacentral:rRNA from 1 species
AACGAACGCUGGCGGCAGGCCUAACACAUGCAAGUCGAACGCAUCCUUCGGGGUGAGUGGCAGACGGGUGAGUAACGCGUGGGAACGUGCCCUUCAGUUCGGGAUAACCCAGGGAAACUUGGGCUAAUACCGGAUACGUGCGAGAGCAGAAAGAUUUAUCGCUGAAGGAUCGGCCCGCGUCUGAUUAGCUAGUUGGUGAGGUAAUUGCUCACCAAGGCGACGAUCAGUAGCUGGUCUGAGAGGAUGAUCAGCCACAUUGGGACUGAGACACGGCCCAAACUCCUACGGGAGGCAGCAGUGGGGAAUAUUGGACAAUGGGCGCAAGCCUGAUCCAGCCAUGCCGCGUGAGUGAUGAAGGCCUUAGGGUUGUAAAGCUCUUUCGUCCGGGACGAUAAUGACGGUACCGGAAGAAGAAGCCCCGGCUAACUUCGUGCCAGCCGCCGCGGUAAUAC